rnacentral:rRNA from 1 species
GUGGGGAAUAUUGGACAAUGGGCGCAAGCCUGAUCCAGCCAUGCCGCGUGAGUGAUGAAGGCCCUAGGGUUGUAAAGCUCUUUCACCGGUGAAGAUAAUGACGGUAACCGGAGAAGAAGCCCCGGCUAACUUCGUGCCAGCAGCCGCGGUAAUACGAAGGGGGCUAGCGUUGUUCGGAAUUACUGGGCGUAAAGCGCACGUAGGCGGACAUUUAAGUCAGGGGUGAAAUCCCAGAGCUCAACUCUGGAACUGCCUUUGAUACUGGGUGUCUUAAGUAUGGAAGAGGUAAGUGGAAUUCCGAGUGUAGAGGUGAAAUUCGUAGAUAUUCGGAGGAACACCAGUGGCGAAGGCGGCUUACUGGUCCAUUACUGACGCUGAGGUGCGAAAGCGUGGGGAGCAAACAGGAUUAGAAACCCGAGUAGUCC